rfam:Firmicutes bacterium CAG:103 genomic scaffold, scf152
AUUCUGCGAUGAAGCGGGAGAUUGCGGAGCCCGUCUCCGGUAACUUCCGUGGAGUAUGUCCGCUGCCGCGCCCUUGCACGGCAG